CUUUAUUACUCUCUGCGGUGGCCAUUUCUGCUGCCAAGUAUGGCAUGGAGGAGAUGUCCCUUCAAGACGGUUAGACACAUAGUCUGCAGCAGAAUGCCAUUCAUGGACUUGCUGUAGGAGAAAGAGCUCCUUCAUGUUCUCACUGCCCUGAGUGGCUGACCUUCUCACAAGAAAUGCCCCCAACUCCUCAGACAGGAGACACCACCUGCCAUUGCAGCAGCAGUCUGGAGGCAGCAGACUGUGUUCGCAUAUUUGGUAAUCAGCAUGAACGCAGCCAGGAGAGGGGCCCAGCUGCGAUGUCAGUUUCCCCUCAUUAACACUGGGUCAAAAUGACUCUGCUAUCUUAAAUGGCUCCUCUUUAAUUAAAUUAAUGUCGACUUCUCUGUUCUACCCUGUCCUAGGAAUUUUCAAUCUGUUACUUAAGGCAACGGGAGAAAAAAAAAAGUUUUUUUUUUUCAUUAAUCCUGUUGCUUGAGUUAUGAUUUCUACAAAGAGCUUAAUACAGAUUAAACAUAAUUGAAG
rnacentral:lncRNA from 1 species